rnacentral:lncRNA from 1 species
UUGCUUUCUAUGUUAAAUUCUGCAAUUUCAAGCAUUUAUUGCUACUUUGUCUUAAGUUCAAAUAAAGUGGCAGUUAUUUCAUGUCAAAACUGUACCUUAUUCUGAUUUGUGCUGAAAGAAUCAACAUACCUUUAAUUGCAUAUUAGAUCGUACUGGUUCCCCAAAGUUUGAUAGUACAAAAACCGGAACUUCUGAUCUGAAC